rnacentral:rRNA from 1 species
UACGUAGGGGGCUAGCGUUGUCCGGAAUCAUUGGGCGUAAAGCGCGCGUAGGCGGCCCGGUAAGUCCGCUCUGAAAGUCCAGGGCUCAACCCUGGAAAGCGGGUGGAUACUGCCGGGCUAGAAUCCGGAAGAGGCGAGUGGAACUCCUGGUGUAGCGGUGGAAUGCGCAGAUAUCAGGAAGAACACCAAUAGCGAAGGCAGCUCGCUGGGACGGUAUUGACGCUGAGACGCGAAAGCGUGGGGAGCGAACAGG